UACGUAGGUGGCAAGCGUUAUCCGGAAUUAUUGGGCGUAAAGAGCGCGCAGGUGGUUAAUUAAGUCUGAUGUGAAAGCCCACGGCUUAACCGUAGAGGGUCAUUGGAAACUGGUUGACUUGAGUGCAGAAGAGGGAAGUGGAAUUCCAUGUGUAGCGGUGAAAUGCGUAGAGAUAUGGAGGAACACCAGUGGCGAAGGCGGCUUCCUGGUCUGCAACUGACACUGAGGCGCGAAAGCGUGGGGAGCAAACAGG
rnacentral:rRNA from 1 species